rnacentral:rRNA from 1 species
UGCCAGCCGCCGCGGUAAUACAGAGGGUGCAAGCGUUAAUCGGAAUUACUGGGCGUAAAGCGCGCGUAGGUGGUUCGUUAAGUUGGAUGUGAAAGCCCCGGGCUCAACUGGGAGAGGUCGCUUAAGACUGGCAGACUUGAGAGCAGUAGGGGAAGGUGGAAUUCCGGGUGUAGUGGUGAAAUGCGUAGAUACUGGUAGGAACCUCGAUAGCGAAGGCAGCUUCCUGGCCGAUACCUGACGCUGAAGCGUGAAAGCGUGGGGAGCAAACCGGAUUAGAUA